GACGAACGCUGGCGGCGUGCCUAAUACAUGCAAGUCGAGCGAACCAAUAAGAAGCUUGCUUUUUGUUGGUUAGCGGCGGACGGGUGAGUAACACGUGGGUAACCUGCCUGUAAGACCGGGAUAACUCCGGGAAACCGGUGCUAAUACCGGAUAGAUUAUCUUUCCGCAUGGAGAGAUAAGGAAAGAUGGCUAUUGCCAUCACUUACAGAUGGGCCCGCGGCGCAUUAGCUAGUUGGUGAGGUAACGGCUCACCAAGGCGACGAUGCGUAGCCGACCUGAGAGGGUGAUCGGCCACACUGGGACUGAGACACGGCCCAGACUCCUACGGGAGGCAGCAGUAGGGAAUCUUCCGCAAUGGACGAAAGUCUGACGGAGCAACGCCGCGUGAGCGAAGAAGGUCUUCGGAUCGUAAAGCUCUGUUGUUAGGGAAGAACAAGUAUCGGAGGAAAUGCCGGUACCUUGACGGUACCUGACGAGAAAGCCACGGCUAACUACGUG
rnacentral:rRNA from 1 species